UACAACUUUCAGAACCUUUGUCCUUGCUUGGAGCUGCAGCCGUCACCCUUCUGCUAGGGUUCCGCCCCCACUGUCGUUGAGCCAGUUCGAAGCUUUCUCUACUCCACUUUUCCAUUCGCCCCUUGAGCUGUUGUGCUCGUGUGUUCGGUGUCGUGGGAGUGUCGGAGCGCUUUGCUAACUUAUUCCAGAUAGGCGAGGUCCUCGUGGUCAGCAAGGGAGCGGUGAUCCAGUAGCUUAGCCAUCUGGGCUGGAGUCGUCCUCGUGUUUUAUUUAGGGCCACGGCCCAUGUAUUUCUUUCCGUAUUUCUACGCUUCAUUCUACGUGUACCCGUAUUUCAGCUUUCCUUUAUCGGCAUCGUGGUGUGCCUAGUUUCGUAGGGGUAAAUGUUAAGGAACCCUGGACUGCGUUGUUAUGCUUUUAUCACGUGACGUUUC